rnacentral:pre_miRNA from 1 species
GGCACGAACUUGAAGUAGAGUACUUUAGCAGGGUUGGACAAACCUGCUAACCUACUUUACUUCGAGUUCUGGCCC